rnacentral:rRNA from 1 species
UAAUACGGAGGGUGCAAGCGUUGUUCGGAUUCACUGGGUAUAAAGGGUGCGCAGGCGGCCCGAUAAGUCAGGGGUGAAAUAUGACGGCUCAACCGUCAAACUGCCCCUGAAACUGUCAGGCUUGAGUUCGAGAGAGGUAGGUGGAAUUCCAGGUGUAGCGGUGAAAUGCGUAAAUAUCUGGAGGAACACCGGUGGCGAAGGCGGCCUACUGGCUCGAUACUGACGCUCAGGCACGAAAGCAUGGGGAGCGAACGGGAUUAGAUACCCCGGUAGUCCAUGCCGUAAACGAUGGGUACUAGGUGUUGGAGGAUUCUACCCCUUCAGUGCCGCAGCUAACGCAUUAAGUACCCCACCUGGGGAGUACGAUCGCAAGGUUG